GGCAGUUUGGCGGAGUGGUCUAACGCGCUAGACUGUGAGUACACCCCAUCAGAAAGUGUUCCGGAGUCUUUACUAAUCAUGUAACAGUGAAUCAACCCUCGAGUUAUCUAGUCCAUUCGUGGGCGCAGGUUCGAACCCUGCAACUGUCG
rnacentral:tRNA from 1 species